rnacentral:rRNA from 1 species
AGUGAACGCUGGCGGUAGGCCUAACACAUGCAAGUCGAACGGCAGCACAGUAAGAGCUUGCUCUUACGGGUGGCGAGUGGCGGACGGGUGAGGAAUACAUCGGAAUCUACUUUUUCGUGGGGGAUAACGUAGGGAAACUUACGCUAAUACCGCAUACGACCUACGGGUGAAAGCAGGGGAUCUUCGGACCUUGCGCGAUUGAAUGAGCCGAUGUCGGAUUAGCUAGUUGGCGGGGUAAAGGCCCACCAAGGCGACGAUCCGUAGCUGGUCUGAGAGGAUGAUCAGCCACACUGGAACUGAGACACGGUCCAGACUCCUACGGGAGGCAGCAGUGGGGAAUAUUGGACAAUGGGCGCAAGCCUGAUCCAGACAUACCGCGUGGGUGAAGAAGGCAUUCGGGUUGUAAAGCCCUUUUGUUGGGAAAGAAAAGCAGCAGGUUAAUACCCCGCUGUUCUGACGGUACCCAACGAAUAAGCACCGGCUAACUUCGUG